CCUACGGGUGGCAGCAGUGGGGAAUAUUGGGCAAUGGACGCAAGUCUGACCCAGCAACGCCGCGUGAAGGAAGAAGGCUUUCGGGUUGUAAACUUCUUUUAAGGGGGAAGAGCAGAAGACGGUACCACUUGAAUAAGCCACGGCUAACUACGUGCCAGCAGCCGCGGUGAUACGUAGGUGGCAGGCGUUGUCCGGAUGUACUGGGGGUAAAGGGCGUGCAGCCGGAGAGACAAGUCAGAUGUGAAAUACACGGGCUCAACCCGUGAACUGCAUUUGAAACUGUUUCCCUUGAGUGUCGGAGAGGUAAUCGGAAUUCCUGGUGUAGCGGUGAAAUGCGUAGAUAUAAGGAAGAACACCAGUGGCGAAGGCAGAUUACUGGACGAUAACUGACGGUGAGGCGCGAAAGCGUGGGGAGCAAACAGGAUUAGAUACCCCUGUAGUC
rnacentral:rRNA from 1 species